rnacentral:lncRNA from 1 species
CUUCUUCCAAAGUCCGCUCGGCGCUCGGGGACCAGCUGCCCCCUUAUCACACACAAGCAGCCUCAGGGAGCCGACAGAGACCCACAGCGCCUGUCACCAGGCGGUGAGGCCAGCACUCCCGAGCCACCUGCUUUUCAAAAGGAUAAACAGACAACUCAGAACCCAGCCAGGCUCGGCCAGGAAACUGAAGAUUUUCUGUUUGGAGACGGUGAAUCUGACAGGUUCUGGAUUUGAGCAGACCUGGCAGAGCAGAAAAGUGAGAGUGAGGUGUCACAUUGCAAACAGAGAUCAAAUGAAAGUUGUUGUCCUCCACGGUGAGAACGCUGGCCCUCUUCCUUCACUUGGGUCUCAGAAAACUAACAACUAGCAUGAACUCUCCAGCAGAAGAUUAGUUGAUUCCUUUCUGAGGAAACCACCCAGCCCAAAUGAAAAGACUGCUCUCAUCCGUUCCUGUAAGAGCCCUGUGUUCUUGGAGCCCAAGCAACUGGCGUCCGGCAGGACCCAAGUGAGUGAGUCCGCUGAAGAGCUCUUGGUUCUCACCAUUCUGCAUAUCACCUGGGGAGCUUACAACCGACGUCCCACCUGUCCUUGAGGGUCCACCCACUCUGGGUUUCCCACUGCAUUUUGGGGAGGGUUCAAGACAAUUCAAUCUGAAUGUUAAAAAACGUGCAGAGUGCACUUGACACCUGGAUUAUACCUUUACGGAGAAAGCAGCCAAAUUUAAAAAGAGGAAUAUUUUUAAAAAUAAAUAAAAUUGCAGUCAUGUUAAGUGUACCCUA